UACGGAGGGUGCGAACGUUAAUCGGAAUUACUGGGCGUAAAGCGCGCGUAGGCGGUCCGCUAAGUGAGAUGUGAAAUCCCCGGGCUCAACCCGGGAACUGCGUUUCAGACUGGCGAACUAGAGUCUGGUAGAGGGGGGUGGAAUUUCCUGUGUAGCGGUGAAAUGCGUAGAUAUGGGAAGGAACACCGGUGGCGAAGGCGGCCCCCUGGAUCAAGACUGACGCUCAGGCGCGAAAGCGUGGGGAGCAAACAGG
rnacentral:rRNA from 1 species